GAUAAACGCUGGCGGCGUGCCUAAUACAUGCAAGUCGAGCGAACGGACGAGAAGCUUGCUUCUCUGAUGUUAGCGGCGGACGGGUGAGUAACACGUGGAUAACCUACCUAUAAGACUGGGAUAACUUCGGGAAACCGGAGCUAAUACCGGAUAAUAUUUUGAACCGCAUGGUUCAAAAGUGAAAGACGGUCUUGCUGUCACUUAUAGAUGGAUCCGCGCUGCAUUAGCUAGUUGGUAAGGUAACGGCUUACCAAGGCAACGAUGCAUAGCCGACCUGAGAGGGUGAUCGGCCACACUGGAACUGAGACACGGUCCAGACUCCUACGGGAGGCAGCAGUAGGGAAUCUUCCGCAAUGGGCGAAAGCCUGACGGAGCAACGCCGCGUGAGUGACGAAGGUCUUCGGAUCGUAAAACUCUGUUAUUAGGGAAGAACAUAUGUGUAAGUAACUGUGCACAUCUUGACGGUACCUAAUCAGAAAGCCACGGCUAACUACGUGCCAGCAGCCGCGGUAAUACGUAGGUGGCAAGCGUUAUCCGGAAUUAUUGGGCGUAAAGCGCGCGUAGGCGGUUUUUUAAGUCUGAUGUGAAAGCCCACGGCUCAACCGUGGAGGGUCAUUGGAAACUGGAAAACUUGAGUGCAGAAGAGGAAAGUGGAAUUCCAUGUGUAGCGGUGAAAUGCGCAGAGAUAUGGAGGAACACCAGUGGCGAAGGCGACUUUCUGGUCUGUAACUGACGCUGAUGUGCGAAAGCGUGGGGAUCAAACAGGAUUAGAUACCCUGGUAGUCCACGCCGUAAACGAUGAGUGCUAAGUGUUAGGGGGUUUCCGCCCCUUAGUGCUGCAGCUAACGCAUUAAGCACUCCGCCUGGGGAGUACGACCGCAAGGUUGAAACUCAAAGGAAUUGACGGGGACCCGCACAAGCGGUGGAGCAUGUGGUUUAAUUCGAAGCAACGCGAAGAACCUUACCAAAUCUUGACAUCCUUUGACAACUCUAGAGAUAGAGCCUUCCCCUUCGGGGGACAAAGUGACAGGUGGUGCAUGGUUGUCGUCAGCUCGUGUCGUGAGAUGUUGGGUUAAGUCCCGCAACGAGCGCAACCCUUAAGCUUAGUUGCCAUCAUUAAGUUGGGCACUCUAAGUUGACUGCCGGUGACAAACCGGAGGAAGGUGGGGAUGACGUCAAAUCAUCAUGCCCCUUAUGAUUUGGGCUACACACGUGCUACAAUGGACAAUACAAAGGGCAGCGAAACCGCGAGGUCAAGCAAAUCCCAUAAAGUUGUUCUCAGUUCGGAUUGUAGUCUGCAACUCGACUACAUGAAGCUGGAAUCGCUAGUAAUCGUAGAUCAGCAUGCUACGGUGAAUACGUUCCCGGGUCU
rnacentral:rRNA from 1 species